GGCAGGGGUGUUUGGUUUUGUGCGAUUAGAAAGUUGGCAACCCUAGUUCUGAGUUGUAGUAAAACUAGAAUUUACUACAUUAUGCGGCUUUCCUAAUGCCCCGUCGUCACUCCUGACUUCUUGUAUAUAACAAACAACUUAACACAACGCUAUUGAAUAGGAGAAAGGGAAGACGCCAUUAGCUGAGGUUCCCGCAUUCUCAUCCUAACCCCAGCUUGUACUCAAGUGUUAACUUGACUAAGUCACUAAGGCUGAACUUGUGCUGAAGGUCGCUGCUUAGAAUCUGGAAGACAGGGUCCUGAAAGCGCUCCCGGUUACGGACCCCAACAUGUUCUUAUCGAAUCCUUGCUGCAGCAUGAGAUGUGAAAGUUAUUGGAAAGCAGUUAAUGCAGAUAGCAGGAUCUCAACACACCUUGCUGAGGAAAUAUCAUUGCCUAUACUGGAAAGUCAGUAAGGAUCAGCUCCAAAUGCUUCUCUGAAUGUCAGAGCUUUCUCCAAGACAAGUCUCAUCUCAUCUUCUGGGAGAACCUCAUUGCUCAUGCCAGCUCCAAGUGCCAGCCAGUUCAAGCAAUUCUCUGCCUCAUUUAUAAGUUUGUGGAUUCUACUGCCAUGGUUAUUGCUUUUCCUCAGAGCCUGGCUGAUGACUGAAGCACCAAGUGAAUAGUGCACUGGACUGUGACUCAGGUGACCUGGGUUUGAUGCCUGACUCUAGCAUUGGACUGCAUGUUGACCUUGCCUCAGUUUCCCCAUCUGUAAAAUUAGGAUAAUGAGCCUGGCUUUCGUUGUCAAGCACUUUCUAGGAGUAUCGUUAAUAAUAAUAACGCUGGGAACCCAGAGCUAUAGCAACUGAUUGAAUAAGAGGUACAUGGGAUUCAUAACAACAUCACUGAUAUUUAGGGCUGGGAUUUUCAAUGGAAGUUAGGUGCCCAAAUUCCUAUCAAAUUUCAAUGGGAUGUAGGUUCCUAACUCCCUUAGGAUAUGUCUACACUGCAGCGGGGAGGUGUGACUCCCAGCAUGGGUAGAUAGACUCACGCACAAAAUAGCAGUGCGGAGGUUGCAGCAUGGGCGAGCUGCCAGAGUCCAAGCCUGCCUGAGCCCUGGAUCCAAGCUCAGUUGGCUUGCCUGAGCCUUGGCCCCUGCCACAACAUCCACACUGCUACCAUUAACAGCUCAAGCAGAGCUAUACGUGUCUGCCUACCUGCGCAGGGAAUCACACCACCCCACUGCAGUGCAUAGCUCCCAUGCAAGCCCCAGCCUAGAUAGAGAGGGGUCCUCACUGAGAAGUUAGCACUUCCCAUUUGUCACCACAAGAUGGUAUCUGAGAUUCUGCAGGUUUCAGAGUAGCAGCCGUGUUAGUCUGU